rnacentral:lncRNA from 12 species
AAAUCGGGGUGUUGGAGAGGAAAGGUAAAAUGUGAAGUCCAUAGAAUCCUUGAAGGUGGCAGUUGUUGACACAAGGAUAAACAAUGCCCACAAAGGUUUACAAUUGAUGCUAUCUACUGAAUCCCAUUUCUUCCGAAUGGAGCCUCCUAGCUUAUCCUAG